rnacentral:tRNA from 1 species
GCACUGGUGGUUUAGUGGUAAAAUUGGACAUUGCCAAGUUGUUUACAGCUCGACGUUGUCUAGCCCCGGGUUCGAUUCCCGGCCAGUGCA